UUGACCCGACUGGCCACUGCAGUCGCCAUCUUCUUCUCUCACGGCUACCACUUCCGCAAGGAAACAGCCACGGCACGCAGGAAGGGACAAAAAAGCCAGACUUGAAAUGCGAAGGCCUGACUAAGGAAGGGAGGGUUAGCCGAAGAGAGGAGAGUGCGCAUGCGUCUUCCUAGGCGCCCGCCCGGUAGGAAGUCCCAGCAAGGAGGAUUCCGUCCAGUAUCCCAUGUUGCAUUCAGUUGUCACUUCUCUUUAGUGUCCUUCAAUUGGUGACAAUUCUUCAGUCUUCCCUUGCGUUCAUGACCUUGAUACUUUUGAGUCCUCUGCAUACCCUUCCUCAUCUGAUGUCUUUAAAAGCCUACAGCCCUGGGACCAUCAGGAAGUGUGUGUGUGCAGAAAAUUACAAAAACAAGGCUCUAGGAAUUGACGGAAUACCAACAGAGAUGUUUCAACAAAGAGAUGCAGAGCUAGAGGUGCUCAUCGUCUAUGUCAAGAAAUUUGGAAGACAGCUUCCUGGCCAACUGACUGGAAGAGAUCCAUAUUUGUACCAUUCCAAAGAAAGGUGAUCUAACAGAAUAUGGAAAUUAUCAAACAAUAUCAUUAAUAUCACACACAAGUAAAACUUUGCUGAAGAUAUUUCAAAAGUGGCUGCAGUAGUACAUCGACAGGGAACUGCCAGAAGUUCAAGCUGGAGUCAGAAGAAGACAUGGAAUGAGGGAUAUCAUUGGUGAUGUUAGAUGGAUCUUGGCUGAAAGCAGAGAAUACCAGAAAGAUGUGUUUUAUUGACUAUGCAAAGGCAUUCGACUGUGUGGAUCAAGACAAAUUAUGGAUAACAUUGAGGAAAAUGGGAAUUCCAAAACACUUAAUUGUGCUCAUGAGGAACCUGUAUAUAGACCAGGAGGAAGUUGUUUGAAGAGAACAAGGGGAUACUGUGUGGCUUAAAGUUAGGAAAGGUGUGUGUCAGGAUUGCAUUCUUUCACCAUACCUAUUCAAUCUGUAUGCUAAACCAAUAAUCCAAGAAACUGGAUUCUAUAAAGGAGAAUGCAGCAUCAGGAUUGGAGGAAGACUCAUUAACAACCUUGGUUAUGCAGAUGACACAACCUUGCUUGCUGAAAGUGAAGAGGACUUGAAGCACUUAGUGAUGAAGAUCAAAGACCACAGCCUUGCACCUCAACAUAAAACAAAAACCCUCACAAUUGGACGAAUAAGCAACAUUGUGAUAAACGGAGAAAAUAUUGAAGUUGUCGAGGAUUUCAUUUUACUUGGAUCCACAAUCAACGCCCAUGGAAGCAGCGGUCAGGAAAUCAAACAAUGUGUUGCAUUGGGCAAAUCUGCUGUACUUUUAAGUGUUGAAAAGCAAAGACGUCACUUUGAGGACUAAAGUGCACCUGACCCCAAACCAUGAUAUUUUCAAUUGCCUCAUAUGUAUGUGAAAGCUGGACGAUGAAUAAGGAAAACCAAAGAAAAAUUGAUGCCUUUGAAUUAUGGUGUUCUUGAAGAAUAUUGAAUAUACCAUGGACUGCCAAAAGCAUGAACAAGUCUAUCUUGGGAGAAGUACAGCCUUCUUGGAAGUGAGGAUGGUGGGCCUUCUUCUCACAUACUUUGGACAUGUUAUCAGGAGGGACCAGUCCCUGGAGAAGGACAUCAUGCUAAGUAAGGUAGAACAUCAGUGAAAAAGAAGACCCUCAACGAAAUGGAUUGACGCAGUGACUGCAACAACGGACUCAAACAUAGCAAUGACUGUGAGGAUGGCACAGUUAGUUCUGUUAUACAUGAGUUCACUACAAGUCAGAGCCAAUUCAGUGGCACCCAACAACGACAACAACUUUUUAUAUAUUAUCCGUAGCUUGGAUUUUCUCUGACUUUCAUGACUAAAGUCAAAAGUAGGAACAACCCCCCCACCCCCCCCAAUUUUUUUUUUAGUGAUUCUUUUCUGCAAUUCACCUGGUGUUCAUUCCUUUCUUGCAAGUUUCAAACACACUAUUUUACCUUCCAAAAUGGCAAAAAUCUCAGUUUGUAAACCUGUUGGGAAGCAGGCCCUUUCACACACUGCCUGCCAUUUCCUGGACUAUUUGGCAAUAUCUAUCAACAUUAACAAUGAUAGCCUCUUUGGCCCAGCAUCCCACUUCUGGGAAUUUUACAACCUGAAUAAUGAGGAAUUAUGAUUUUUACAAGAUUAUUUAUUAGAGCAUUGUUUGUAAUAACAAAAGACAAGGCAACCCGAGAGGCCUUCCGCUGAGCACUGCUUAAAUAGACUGUGGCAGAGGGUACCUCAUGUGGGCGGCCAAGAGGUCCUGCUGAGGCCAGAGCAUAAGCCCUAGGCCACAGCCAAGACUCAGUUCAGCUGUGCUCGACUGCUUGUGGGAGGCCAGGGGACUGCCUCCAGCGAAAAGACAGGGCUGUGCCAGGUGAGGAAGAGUGAGGAAACCCCACCUGGCCUGUUUCUCAAUGAACAUGGCAGGGCCCAAGCAGACCGGGUGCCAAUUUCCGUUUCCGGGUUGCCCAGUCCACGUGGUCAUUGCCAUUUCCGGGCACAAUCCACCAUUGUUGUACCUUUUCAAGAAGGUGUGCCGGAAACCGAGAGCUCAAAAAAAAAGGAAAGUAUAUCCCCCGACAGGCUUUCCUAACACAAAAACAUUACUUCAAAUCACCCGGUAUUUGAAUUUAACAGAAAGCAUAAGCCAAAAGGCCGUAGUGCUAUGGUCUCCACUGACUGUUCUGCCGGGGUAUAUAGACGUGAACAAUUUUUCCCUCAUACUUGUGGUUGAUUGAAGAAAAAAUAAGACUUUUCCACUCCCAAGGUCGUGUUCUCACUGAUCCUCCAUUUCAAGCACGCUGUGGAGUGCUGCGGUUUGGAGUUCCCCCAGUGGGUUUGGACCUUGAGGCAUUUAUUGUCAGCUUCCGGUUGAGAAGUAAGGUAGUAGAUCGUUCCGGAAGGAUGCGUGAGCUGAUGACCUGUGCCGACCAGCACGUUUCCAUCUCCCUGCUAACGAAACGGAAAACUUGGGAGUUGAUGUGUCCAAUAUAGACAACAAAUGACCUGGAAAAGGAAGGCCAAAUACCUCUACUUCUAAGAUGGGGCUUCAUGCUGGCUUUCCCCAACCCAGAUACGCACGAUUCCAUGAUGAAGAUGUCUGGGAGCCACAGGUUUUCAGCUAAUAAGAGAGCAGAAAGUUUGUGAGAUGGGACUGGGGCCUCUGUGUUCCCCUGUGAGAGGGGUGCUGGAAUGAAGCCUGGGGAACAUUUCUGCAGAGAGAGAAGACAGGAGACACUGGGAGAAGCAGAGACCCUCAUCCACUGAAAGCAAGAACUGACUUAUCAAGAGAAUAAGAGAAGAAAACAACUAUACUUACUAGGAGCCCUGGUGGCGCAAGUGGUUAAGUGCUCAGCUGCUAACUGAAAGGUCAGCAGUUCGAACCCACCACUGCUCCUAAGGAGAAAGAUGUGGCAGCCUGUUUCCAUAAAGAUUACAGCAGCCUUGGAGACUCUACGGAGCAGUUCCUUGGAAUUCACUCAACAAUUAUUUCUGGCAAGGAAGGCUUCAGGGAGGGUGAUCAUGGCUUGGAGAAAGAAGACAGACCAGCUGCUUCAAUGAAGAAGCUUACAGAUUGCUGUGGCCUGAUACAGAGAUAAAAGGACAGGGAAGCAAGCAGAGAGUGGGGACCCCAUACCACCAAGGAAGCAGUGCCUGGAGCAGAGUGUGUCCAGGGGAAGAUUGAUGACAAGGACCUUCUUCCAGAGCAGACAGAGAAAGCCUUCCCUUGGAGCUGACGCCCUAAAUUGGGACUUCUAUCCUACUAGACUGUGAGAGGAUAAAUUUCUCUUUGUCGAAGCUAUCCACUUGUGGUAGUUCUGUUAUAGCAGCACUAGAUAACUAACACACACAUUUUCAUUAGAAAACAAACAAACAAACCAAACCUGUUGUCCUUGAGUUGAUUCAGACUCAUAGUGACCCUAUAGGACAGAGUAGAAAUGCCCCUUAGGGUUUCCAAGGAGUGGCUGGUGGAUUUGAACUGCCAGCCUUUGGGUUAGCAGCCAAGCUCUGAACCACUGUACCACCAGGGCCCUUUAUCAUUAAGAGACGUUAGAAAUACUGUACCAAUAACAUCAAUAAAAUGUUAUUCAAUCGAUCAAAUAAUUUCC